rnacentral:rRNA from 1 species
UGGGGAAUUUUGGACAAUGGGCGCAAGCCUGAUCCAGCCAUGCCGCGUGCGGGAAGAAGGCCUUCGGGUUGUAAACCGCUUUUGUCAGGGAAGAAAUCUUCUGAGUUAAUACCUCGGGAGGAUGACGGUACCUGAAGAAUAAGCACCGGCUAACUACGUGCCAGCAGCCGCGGUAAUACGUAGGGUGCAAGCGUUAAUCGGAAUUACUGGGCGUAAAGCGUGCGCAGGCGGUUUUGUAAGACAGAGGUGAAAUCCCCGGGCUCAACCUGGGAACUGCCUUUGUGACUGCAAGGCUUGAGUGCGGCAGAGGGGGGAUGGAAUUCCGCGUGUAGCAGUGAAACGCGUAGAUAUGCGGAGGAACACCGAUGGCGAAGGCAAUCCCCUGGGCCUGCACUGACGCUCAUGCACGAAAGCGUGGGGAGCAAACAGGAUUAGAUACCCUGGUAGUCCACGCCCUAAAACGAUGUCAACCGGUUGUUGGGAAGGUUCCUUCUCAGUAACGUAGCUAACGCGUGAAGUUGACCGCCUGGGGAGUACGGCCGCAAGGUU